UCUCAGAAUCUCCUCACUAUUCUGUGUACUCUCAACUGUCACACACUUAGCCUCAGCAUGAGAUAAGACAUGAUAAUCAGACGUGCAUUCCAGGGACUGAGGACAAUGUGUGAUGGACUGUUGGUGACUCCAGAGAAACCCUCACCAGGAAAAGAGGAGACUGUCUGUAAAAAGAAUAUUGCGAUGAUAGUGACAGAGUUGUCUGUGUCAGCUAUGCCAAAAGAUGGUAUCAUGCUACCGUUGAGUGCCUUACAGACUUAGAGAAAUACUGGAGAAUGUACAAGGACACCUGCAAGACCAAAGAUGAGAGACAUCAGUCCUCACAAGGUAACCAAGAGGCUGAUGCUCUCACAAAGGGGUGGACCCUCUGUCCCUGCACACCCAGAGAAGCCGCCAACUGGGAGCAUGGAA